AUCAAAAUUACAACUUCUCAGGCC
rnacentral:siRNA from 1 species